rnacentral:rRNA from 1 species
UACGUAGGGUGCGAGCGUUGUCCGGAAUUAUUGGGCGUAAAGAGCUUGUAGGCGGUUUGUCGCGUCCGCUGUGAAAUCUCAAGGCUCAACCUUGAGCUUGCAGUGGGUACGGGCAGACUAGAGUGUGGUAGGGGAGACUGGAAUUCCUGGUGUAGCGGUGAAAUGCGCAGAUAUCAGGAGGAACACCGAUGGCGAAGGCAGGUCUCUGGGCCACUACUGACGCUGAGAAGCGAAAGCAUGGGGAGCGAACAGG